rnacentral:rRNA from 1 species
AUUGAACGCUGGCGGCCGGCCUAACACAUGCAAGUCGAACGAGUGGCGGACGGGUGAGUAAUGUCUGGGAAACUGCCUGAUGGAGGGGGAUAACUACUGGAACCGGUAGCUAAUACCGCAUACCAUCGGAUGUGCCCAGAUGGGAUUAGCUAGUAGGUGGGGUAACGGCUCACCUAGGCGACGCUCCCUAGCUGGUCUGAGAGGAUGACCAGCCAGACUGGAACUGAGACACGGUCCAGACUCCUACGGGAGGAAGCAGUUGGGAAUAUUGCACAAUGGGCGCAAGCCUGAUGCAGCCAUGCCGCGUGUAUGAAGAAGGCCUGCGGGUUGGAAAGUACGUUCAGCGGGGAGGCGUUACCCGCAGAAGAAGCACCGGCUAACUCCGUGCCAGCAGCCGCGGUAAUAC